UCCUCUCUCUUUUGCCUUGGGGAGCCCCUGCCGCACCCCACUAAGCAUCUCUGCAAAAUCAGAUAUCUUCCUCUAUACCUUGAUCGGGUUGCACAGACUUGUUUCGCAGGAAGAAAACUCGUUUGCAUCUGGGCUGGAGCACUAAAGGAGUAUCUGGGUAAAAUGGCCAGGUCACCUCCUGGGGAUCCUGUACAGAGGUGUGGCUGGGCCGGUGGGACUGUUGUGUACCAAUGCAGAAUUCUCCUCAUCUGGUAGCCCUGCCGAUACUUCCUGCCUGGAUACAUCCUGCAUGUCCAUUGAAUGAAGCAGUUUUAUUCAUCAACCAUCUAGCUUCCCCUGUUCCUAGUCUGUACGUUGUGAACAUGUUGCUGCCGCCACGGACAGAGCGAUCUUUCCCAGCAUGCUUGCCCAGCCAGAACGAAUCAAAAUCCCUCUGACACUAUGAGCCAGGAUCGAUCUUUCCUCUGCUCUGCUGUUUCUCCCAGGCCCUGCUGUCUACCCUAGGGAUUACAGGGAGCUCUCUAGACUAUGGAUAAAACAAUUGAACAGAUCAUCAAACAGCCUGCACCUCUCCCUGUUUCCAUCCUGCCCUCUCUUGUUUUCACAUGGAGCUUGGAGGUCCAGGCUGUGGUCCAAGUAGCACCUUCACCAAGUACUACAGGCACUGUAUACAAAUGGUACAAAGAUAUACAUGAAAUACAAAGAAAACAAGAUAUUUUUAAAAACCAGCAACAGAGACUGAAAAUGGAGUGAAGUCAAGCCUACCAAGAGAUGGUCUCCUGCAACCCCGUCAUCCAGAGGCUGUGAGGAAGGGAAUUCUGGACAAGAAAAGGUUGGGAGGAUCUGAUUCACCACUGCUACAUCACUCCCUAUUCAGAACUGGUAAAGAACUGGGUAUAACAAAGCCUAAGUGAGUUUUCACAUGGGCGCUGUUCUGUUGAAGAUAUCCAAGGUCUGGUUUCUCCAGUCAUUUUCUCCAUGCAUGCUGUGCAGAAUUAAAUGGUACUGCAGAAUGAGAUGGCACAGGUCUUUUCAUCUCCAGGAUUAACCUGUAACCACAUGGACAGAAAGGACGAUAUUCUAAAGAAACCGUUGCGACUCCCCGAUAUCCUGCAUUGACAACUGGACUAUGGAGCAGGUGGUCCUCAAGGUACUGGAAUUUUC